rnacentral:rRNA from 1 species
UAAUUGAAGAGGUUUGGAAAGACCCACCACAGAAGGUAAUAGUCCUGUAUGUUAAACGAGAAGACUUUAGAUAUGAUCCAGAGUACCACGGGACACGUGAAACCCUGUGGGAAGCAGGAGGGACCACCCUCCAAGGCUAAAUACUACCUAGUGACCGAUAGCGUAUAGUACCGUGAGGGAAAGGUGAAAAGAACCCCGGGAGGGGAGUGAAAUAGAACCUGAAACCCUGCACUUACAAGCUGUGGAAGCACAUUUCUUGUGUGACCGCGUACUUUUUGUAGAACGGGCCAACGAGUUACGUUAAGUAGCAAGGUUAAGCACUUAAGGUGUGGAGCCGUAGCGAAAGCGAGUUUUAACUGAGCGUUCAGUUACUUGACGUAGACCCGAAACCGGGCGACCUACCCAUGAGCAGGAUGAAGCGAAAGUAAAAUUUCGUGGAGGUCCGAACCCACGAGCGUUGAAAAGCUCGGGGAUGACUUGUGGGUAGCGGUGAAAUUCCAAUCGAGCCCGGAGAUAGCUGGUUCUCCCCGAAAUAGCUUUAGGGCUAGCCUCAAGGUGAGAGAUACGGAGGUAGAGCACUGAAUGUCCUAGGGGGUAUUGCACCUACCGAAGACUAUCAAACUCCGAAUGCCGUCAUCUUAUACUUGGGAGUCAGACUGUGGGUGAUAAGAUUCAUAGUCGAAAGGGCAACAGCCCAGAUCGUCAGCUAAGGUCCCUAAAUGUAAGUUAAGUGGUAAAGGAUGUGGGAUUGCACAGACAACCAGGAUGUUGGCUUAGAAGCAGCCACUCAUUCAAAGAGUGCGUAAUAGCUCACUGGUCGAGUGAUCCUGCGCCGAAGAUUUCCGGGGCUAAAACUUACUACCGAAGCUACGGCAUCAGUAAUGAUGGGUAGGGGAGCUUCCCAUACGGGUUGAAGCAUGACCGUAAGGACAUGUGGACAGUAUGGGAGUGAGAAUGUUGGCAUGAGUAGCGAGAUGUGGGUGAGAAUCCCACAGGCCGUAAACCCAAGGUUUCCAGGGGAAGGUUCGUCCGCCCUGGGUUAGUCGGGACCUAAGCUGAGGCCGAAAGGCGUAGGUGAUGGACAACAGGUUGAUAUUCCUGUACUACCGAUAACCGUUUGAGAGAAGGGAUGACACAGUAGGAUAAGCUAAGCACACUGUUGGUUAUGUGUGCCCAAGCAUUGAGGCAGUCAAAGUAGGCAAAUCCGCUUUGAUAAUGCUGGGAUGUGAUGGGGAGCGAAAUUUAGUAGCGAAGUAGCUGAUUUCACACUGUCAAGAAAAGUCUCUAUCGAGGUUAAAGGUACCCGUACCGCAAACCGACACAGGUGGGUGAGG